UUUCCGUAGGUGAACCUGCGGAAGGAUCAUUAUUGAAUCUGCUUGGUGAAGUCAUUUUAUGGCUAAGCCGGGUAACCUCCCUUCUUCUCCCUGUGAACUGUUGAGAUGUGUACGGCCAUUCUGUGGCUUGCUACUGCUCAUACCUAUUUUUAUAAAACAACGUCAAAAGAAUGUUUAAAUGAUGUCGAUAGCUUAACCGCUAUCGUCUAAAUUAAAAUACAACUUUUAGCAACGGAUCUCUUGGCUCUCGCAUCGAUGAAGAACGCAGC
rnacentral:misc_RNA from 1 species